UAAAAAAAUCAAGAAAACGAGAGAUCGAUUUUUAAAGGUGGUUCUUCUUUUAUUCUUUUUUUUUCUGCAUUUUUUUGGUCUUGUUCUUUCAUUUUUCCUAUUUUUUAUUUAUAUACAUACAACAACAAGCAAAAGAAAAAGGGAUUAGAACUCUUACCUGGACGCUCUAGGAUCCGCGCGAAAAGGAGCCGAGAAGCCCUUGGUGGUGAGGCUCCAACCACCGUUCAUGGUGGAACUGCGGCAGAGGAGGGCGAGAGGGCUUAGUUUUUUUUUUUACGGCUUAAAAGGGAGGUCUGAAUGUUAAGGCUUUAGGGUUUUGAUUUCGUUUUUACAAGUUACAAGAAAUGGCACCAUUUAGGGCCCGUUUCAAUGGCUCUAAAACUGUGUCGUAUAGGCCCGCACCCGAUGACCCGAUCCAACCGCGGCUA
rnacentral:lncRNA from 1 species